AGAAAUUUUUACAACUAAAACGUGGUUACAGGACAGGAAUGCAAACGUGACGAUAAAUGCAGUCCAUCCAGGGAUCGUUAAAACCGGAAUUAUCAGAGCACACAAGGGUCUUUUGACAGAUUCUCUGUUUUUGAUAGCUUCGAAGCUGCUAAAAUCUAUAA